rnacentral:rRNA from 1 species
AUUGAACGCUGGCGGCAGGCCUAACACAUGCAAGUCGGACGAGUGGCGGACGGGUGAGUAAUGUCUGGGAAACUGCCUGAUGGCGGGGGAUAACUACUGGCAACGGUAGCUAAUACCGCAUACCAUCGGAUGUGCCCAUAUGGGAUUAGCUAGUAGGUGAGGUAACGGCUCACCUAGGCGACGAUCCCUAGCUGGUCUGAGAGGAUGAUCAGCCACACUGGAACUGAGAAACGGCCCAGACUCCUACGGGAGGCAGCAGUGGGGAAUAUUGCACAAUGGGCGCAAGCCUGAUGCAGCCAUGCCGCGUGUAUGAAGAAGGCCUUCGGGUUGUAAAGUACUUUCAGCCGGGAGGCGUUACCCGCAGAAGAAGCACCGGCUAACUCCGUGCCAGCAGCCGCGGUAAUUC